ensembl:lncRNA PART1 prostate androgen-regulated transcript 1
GGCUCUGGAAAGCUGAAAGGGCUGCACUGGAACAACACAGAUGAGAUAUUCUACACAUUAAUCUACUUAUCUGGAAUCACUUUGCCUCUAAAGGCCAGAGAAAAAUCACAGCUUCCUUGUCGGAGGGGAAAAGGACAGGUGAUCUGGGGAAAACGCAGCUACACCUGGAGCAAGGUCUCUUCCCGGCUUGGCAAUCUCAGCUGUGCCGGCGCUACGGGACCCGAGCCGUCCCAGAAACCAAAGGGCAGGCACGGCAGCAAACGCCUGAGGACUGAGAAGACGUCAAGGUCCAGACACUCGUCAUUAACACCUACUCACAACCGAUUCCCCCACCCACUUUGGCCUCACCAAGAUUUGGCAAGCAGGAGAAUUAAAUGUCACUUUGCUACCAUCCUCUGCUGAACCUCCAACAGAAAAACCCAUAUUGCCCAAGUACAAAGCAUGAAAUACUGCUGGCCUACCCUGACUUUUCAGCUAUUCUCCUUGCAUAUAGUAAAUGACUCCCCAGGAGACAUCAUCUUAAAGUCUGAGACACAAAAAAGGACCCAAAGUCCUAUAUGCUUGAAGAAUUGCAUGGCAAUAUAUUUAGUUAACAUUUUCUAUUUUAUUAGAAAAAACAGACAAUUCAAUUGUCGAUGUGAUCGUUUCAGGCUUCCCAGCCUCUCCUUUCUGACAUCAUCCUAUAUACUACAACCUCCACCAGAAAAGCAGUAUGGUACUGGGAAAAAGAGAUCUAAAGGCAGAACACUAGGGCUUCACUCUCAGCACUGUUAACUGAGUGACUUGACUAAGUCACUGAAAUUCACUGAAACUGCAGUUUCCCCUUCUGUCAAAGGGGGAUAACAAUAUCAGCUUCACAGGGUGCUGUGAAGGAAGCAAAUGAGAAAAUGAAACCUGCCUUGUACUUCAUGCAGGUUGAACAGAAAUGUUUUCUGAGCAUGUAUUGUUACAGCCCUCUGAGAUGGUAUAAAAGAAUGAAAGAAGACACGACCUGCCUUCCAGGAGUUUCACAAAAAAGAUGGGAUGAACACAGUGUUCACUUCCACCUUCCACCCUUUCACUAUGAAGGACCCUCACCAGAUGGUGGCACCAUGCUCUCGGACUUCCCAGCCUCCAGAACUGGACGGGUAAAUUGAAGCAAAAAGCAGACAAGUUCUAUGGGAUUUGCUGGCAUUGAUUUCCCAGGAUGGCAAAGUGCUAAGAACUAAACCUUUAAAGCUAACAAAAUGUACUGAUGUCUUUGCAAAGUAUCCAAGACCAACAAGAAAGUAAUUUCCCACCUCACCCUACCACCACCCAGAAAAGGAGCACAGAGAUGGGGAAGAGAGUGGCUGCAUCUGGCAUCCAGCCAGAGGAGUCCGUGCAGGGAUUCUGGAUCCCUCUUCCCCCACCCCACUGCCCUUCCCCCUCCACCCCAGCGUUUUGGAGAAGCAAGAAACUGUGAUGAUGCAGCUCCCUCAAGUAUCACAUGAAGAUAGUGGAAAGAGCCUCCUGAGGUAAAUAUGCCAUGUAGACAGAAACAAGCAAUGGCUCAACAGCAAUGUAUGAGGUCCAAGGACCAGGACCAAAGGGAAAAACAGCCAUCUCACCAGACACCUGCCUACGACCAGAUGCGUCAUCUCCAAUAUUAGCUAACUCCCUGGAACCUGGACUCAAGGUGUGAAAUAAAGGUUAAUGGGAAACCGCAGGAGUCAAAAGGAGGGGGCAGGAUUAUUGAGGAUUCAGGCUGUUGAGAAAUGAAAGUUUGGAUCACUCCCCAGAUAAAGAACCUUGACCAUUUAAGGGCAAUGGAAAUACAGAAUAGGCAGUAGAAGAAGGAAGCCAUAGAUACCAACUAUGGCCUCUCAAUCAAUUACAAAACUGAGAAUUCUGACAGUUUUGUGUAUUUCCUCUUUGCAUGUGAUGUAUAUGUGUGUAUUUGUAUAUAUUAACCAUUUUCCUUUUUCUCUCUUCAUUAUUUUAUGAAAGUUGUUGAAUAUAAACUCUACAAUUUAGCCUUUAGGUAAGAGAAUAUUCAGUGGGACUUUGAUUUGAGGAGUAUUUAAGACAGCCAGAUGAGACUACGAUAACUGUUGGAACUGUGUGUCUCCUCAUUUGGGGAAAGGGGUGAGAACUCUGCAUUUCUCUGAAGAACAGAGUUGACUUUGUGUUAUACAGAGUUCAAAUAUAUAUAUAAAAUGGUGCAUGUGGAAGCUAAGAAGCCAAAGGAGUUCACCAAGACAGUUAUCAAUAUAUUGCCUCUCCGCUCCAAAUCCACCCUUCUUUGCCCUGUUCCACGAUACUAAUCUGGCUCCUCGGUCAGCCAGUGCAAUGUCAUCUGUUGCUGGUAGAGUGUAGGGGAGACACUACAAGGUAUAGUAAAGGGGUCAGAUGCGGUGUCUCAUGCCUGUAAUCACAGCCCUUUGGGAGGCAGAGGCAGGAGGAUCACCUGAGGCCAGGAGUUUGAGACCAGCCUGGACAACAUGGUAAAACCCCAUCUCUACUGAAAAUACAAAAUUAGCACGCACCUGUAAUCCCAGCUACUCGGGAGGCUGAGGCAGGAGAAUCACUUGAACCUGGGAGGUGGA